rnacentral:lncRNA from 1 species
GGAGAUUUGACUACAGAAGUAGGAGGUAUGAUGACAGAAGUAAGAGAUUAGAGUGUUGGGGAUGCAAGCCCAGGAAUGAUAAGUAAUACUAAGGAAUCCUGGCAGCCUCUAGAAGCUAGAAGAAGCAAAGAAUAGAUUCUCUCCUGGAGCCUCCAGAAGGAACCAACUGCGCAGAGAACUUCCAGCUGUGGGGCCAGCUCCCUUCUUUCAGAACACGCUGAGAGGCACCGUUUCAGAAGAACCUGCACUUACAUUCCGUUUCAUCCCCCGUAUAAAAGAAGACUUGCAGGAAGCAAGAAGGCAUCUUACAGGAAAGACAGAAUUUCUAAAAUAGCAACCUCUCUUCCUCGAUAAAGAAACUGAGGUCCUUGCGCAGGAGCAAUGGGCAGCGCUUGCUUGGCUGUUCCUUCAAGGACUCUGUCAUCUCUUCUGUUAAUAACUCAACAUGCAAUGCCUAAGUCACAGGAUAGGACCCUCCAUACUGUUCUACAUGGAGUUUUCCAGGGAACUGCCAGACAGAGCAAAUAAUGACAGCGCUCUGGAAACAGGGCUUUGGAGGAUCUUCAGCCCCUUUCUGCCACCUCUGGGGGCUGCCAGGCUGCUGGUGUUCAAGUGACUGUGGAACAGUUGGUCUUCAAGGCUGCCAUGAAACCAAGGACGGGGGAAUAGAAACAGAGCAAGUUAAAAUGCCACAAAGCUUAUUGUUUUUUACUGAUGACAGUCAGCUCUUUUUCUUGAAUAAACUAUCUUUAGCCUGUUGCAAGCCUUUGGUUAAUUUCUAGAGCUGUAAAAAAGUUGAUUUUGACAAUGUUUUUGGCCACUGUUGGUGGUAGUAGUGUGGGUUAAUAGAUGUUUCAGGUGAACAAAUGCUAACAGAAUCUGAAAUAGUACGGUUGUCUCCAGAUGGAAUGGACUGUCUUAGAAGAUAAUGAAUUCCCUGAUUUUCAAACAGAAGCUCAACAACACACGGCCAGGGGUAUUAUGGAGGGAUUCUAACAUCAGAAGAAUGGCUGGACUAGAUCAUGAUGUAUUUUAUUAUUAAAAUAUUGGAUUAUUUUAUUAUUAUUAAAUAUCUUAAAUAGCCACAAAGUAGAUAGUCCUGUUAUCUAGAC